AAAAAAGCUGUCGGUUGACCUAAAAUGUCAUCGGUGAAAACACUGCUAGAAUUGGAAACAGUGAAAAACAUUUUAGAAAAAAAAUUAAUUCCUUUUCAACUAGUUUUUAACCAAAGACUAGCGUUAUGGCAGGCACUGAGCCAGGAGUGUAGGGUAAGAUUUGCUCCCUCCAGGGGCUCCAAAAUCCAGCUGAGGAGACAAAAAUAGAAGACAGCUGUGACAAAUACUAUACUCAAGGUUGUUAAGAAGGCAGUUAGUGUGCAUCUCUAGUGUAUAGACAUUUGCUCCUGUGUCAACACAUCUCCCAAUGACAUAUUUUGGGAUAGUAGAGGAGAAAACUGAUUAAGAAAUCCAGUAAAGGGAUACUUUAAGGCCAGUCCCCUUCUAAAGGCAGUUUAGAGUUGAAAUUAAACGUUCUAAAGGAGUGUUUCUGAUGUCACAAUGUCUGGGUUCAAAUCCUGGCUCUGCCACUUCUAGCUAUGUAAUCUUGGACCAAAUACUCAACAUUUUGCAUGUCAGUUUCCUCAUCUACAAAAGGAAGGAUGACGCUAGACAGCAGACCGUGAGUCCUGGUGGAACUGCACAGACUACAGGGUGCAGCAAGGCGGAGAAGACUGGCUGCCUUCCCCCACCAAGGAUUUAAGCCUCUUGGGAGCAGGACUUUCAUCGAUGUACCCCCAGCACCGAGAACACACCCUGGUGCACAGCAAGUGCUCAAGAAAUUUGUUGAAUGAAGGAAUAAACACUCAGAUCCUAACAAGUUUAACAAUUAUUAGACUUCCUGAAUGAUUUAUCACAUCAAAUGCCUUAAGCUAUGUCCACUUUAGGGAGGAACCUGGACAUAGUUCAAUAUGAGGACUAGCUCAAUAGGUGAUGGUUUCAGUGCUUUUUCUUAGCUCAUCCUCAUUAGCAAUAACCUCAGAACCACAGACACCAUGAGAAUUUGUAGGAAUCAUAGAAAUUAAGUCAUUCCUGGCACUAACUUCAAGCCUUGACUGAUUUCACCAAAAGAGACAUGCAAAAACUUAUAACAGUAAAAGUGAACUAAAAACUUGCAUGCACUUCCAGUUAAUAUAGAGCCCGCAAAUGCAAUGCAUUUUAUUUUAAAAGAUCAAGCCAACAGCAAACAAGAUGGGACACUGGCCUCGUGUAGACUCCUUAAUUAGACGUAUCCAAGGACAGCUUGACCUAGAAACCUAACUCCAGCCCUACUUUUGUUUUUUUUCUGUUGUUCAUAUUUGGUGUUUGUUGUCUCAUUUUGAUUUGUUUUUUAAGAACUGCUUCUAAAGAAAUCAGAGUUUCCAUGAGAUCAUUAUAAAAGAGCUAAAAAUCCACGUGAUUUUUUUCUCUGGAAGUCAGCUGCUUGUACACCAUUGGAUUCGAAGUUUUCUUUAUCUCUAAUAUAUUAGUCUUCCUCAACUGAAACCAUUUUUAGGAAAAGGCAACAGAUGUGUCUUGUUGAAUUCAUCUAUUCCUUCUCUAAGCAACCGUUCCAUUUCUUGUUCCUAAAGAAAAGAUGCCAAUUCCCUCCAAAUAAAUGGCAACCACAUUGUUGAAACGGAUAGUACCAGUGUCAACCCCAAACAACUUUCAUGGGUCUCAAAGUGGAGGCCAGAAGUAAUUCAUUUACAGCGUGCAGAACUUUCCCUGCUGAGCAAAGGGAAAUCUUGAUAGGCUCCUCUGUUUUGAUUUGAAUUAUUCGAAGAGCAGAUUGUACUUUCAACACACACACACACACGAAAGAAAGAAAUGAAAAAGAAAAGUGUUCUGCACAAGCAGCCGCAAAGCAAACUGAAGGGUAUAGGAAAAGAUCACAGUCCACACUCACUGCAAUUUAAACUUUCGAAUGAUUCAGAUGGAGAAAUGCCUGAUUCUUUUAACCUGCUCAGAUGCCUUGAUGUAGACAAUCAAGGUGGAUUUCAGGUAUGAAAUGAACCUAAUGCUGAACUCAGACAAUGUUCCUCGCGGUUUGGUUUGGUUUCUUUUACUCUCCUCUUUCAGGCUUUCAGCACACAGCUUUCCAAAACAAACUGAGUACAACACCUAACACCUCCUCAAAUAUCCACACUCUUUCAUCCCUACCUCAGAGCUACAUCAUUUCCUUCUUACAUCAAGAUAAGUAUUGUUCAUUCAUCAUUGGGGGGACACAAGCAAGAGUUAUUUCAUCAACAGCAAUAAGUUUAUCAUUUUUCCUAGCUUCUCCCUCACUGCUCCCCCUCAACUUAGGUGCACCUAUGGGACAAAAGACAAGACAGCCCCCUGGGGUGAUACCUUGCUUCCACAGUGUGCCAGCUACAGGGCAAGUGAUUUCACUCUCUGCACCUCAGCUUCUUCAUCUGUACCUGACUCACAGGGUUUCUGUGACAUACGACUCUAGACUUGACAUACAACUACUUAAUGUGUCAGUAUUGUUAUUUUUAGCAACAAGUUGGAGAUGAGUCUGUGGACCAGUUUCUCCUUGUCUGCAGCUUACUCAAAGGAGGGGUCGUGAACCCAAUCAUUGGCCUUUUGAGUGCCCAUGUGGCCAUGCAAGUCAAGAGAAUUCCAAGAAGGAACCAGAGCGCACACAUCCAAAUGCUUCCCACUCCACCAGCGCUCCUGAGGAUCUUAUCAACAGGAAACAAAAGCACUAUACUACUAUAACGAAGUGUCUGACUUUCAUUUCUUAAUUAGAAAAGCCCAAAGAUUGUAGUCCAGGGAACAGCUAAAUAUUUAGAAUGUUGAAGUUACCAAAACCCAGUCCCCCUCCCCUUGAGCCUGUUGUUUACCCCGUUCCUGACCACUUCAGAAGAAAAAACUUUUGAUGACCAAUUCUACAGCAAUGGGGAUGUACGUGCACCCGUUAAAACCUCCCUUUCUUGCAGUGAAGUCUGACCAUUUUGGGGAAAAAAAUAGGAGCUGCUUGUGUUCACAGAUAAAUGCUGCCCUCUGCUCAUAUCCCAUGACAGGUACCUCAACAACAGGAACUCAUCAGAUUCCUUGACAUCCAAGUGGCUGCAAGUCAAGGGCUGGAUGUUACUAACUUUUGCUUCAAGAACUAACUUCCCUUUUUAAAGUUCUAAUUCUUUCAAUUUGCCAGCAACCACUUUCAUUUCUUGCAAUCCAACCUACUCUGAUUAAACACCCAUUCACAGUAAGAAAAAAGAAAGUGACUAUUUUUGAGAGAGAGGCAGUUAAUUUUUGCUUACAUAUCUUGGCAGAUGAAAUGCACUGCAUCCUUCAGAAUUUAAAUCAUCAAUACGCUGCCUGGCAAGUUCCAUUCUCAGGCCACCAAUGGGCAUCCCUUUCAUUUAAAGGCCUUUUUCCCCUCCUCUCACAAACCUUCA